AACGCAUCUUGCGCUCCUUGGUAUUCUGAGGAGCAUGCCUGUUUGAGUGUCAUUAAAGUUCUCAACCACAUCUCUGUUGAUGUGGCUUGGAUAGUGGGGGCUUAUAUUUGCAGUCUUUUGAAAAGAAGUCUGCUCCCCUGAAAUGAAUUAGUGGUAUCUAAGCAGAAACUACUAUAGGUGUGAUAAACUAUCUAUGCCUUGGUAAUACUGUAUAAACUGCUUCUAACAACAAAAGUUGACCAAUUUGACCUCAAAUCAGGUAGGACUACCCGCUGAACUUAA
rnacentral:misc_RNA from 1 species